rnacentral:tRNA from 1 species
GGGUUCCUGGCGCAACGGUAGCGCGUUCGACUCCAGAUCGAAAGGUUAUCUGUUCAAAUCAGGUGGAGCUCA